rnacentral:rRNA from 2 species
GUCUCAGUGAUGCUCGACUAUAUUGGUCCCAUCGACGUAAUUAACCUCUGGCUGCUGCAAAGAGGGAAAACAAAAGGUUAGGUAUUAAUAAGGCUAUAUGCCAUGUGGGUGCAUAACCCCUGGUAUAUU